UACGGAGGGUGCAAGCGUUAAUCGGAAUUACUGGGCGUAAAGCGCACGCAGGCGGUCUGUCAAGUCGGAUGUGAAAUCCCCGGGCUCAACCUGGGAACUGCAUUCGAAACUGGCAGGCUAGAGUCUUGUAGAGGGGGGUAGAAUUCCAGGUGUAGCGGUGAAAUGCGUAGAGAUCUGGAGGAAUACCGGUGGCGAAGGCGGCCCCCUGGACAAAGACUGAAGCUAGGGUGGGUAAGUGUCGGGGGC
rnacentral:rRNA from 1 species